rnacentral:rRNA from 1 species
AACGAACGCUGGCGGCAGGCCUAACACAUGCAAGUCGAACGAAGUCUUCGGACUUAGUGGCGGACGGGUGAGUAACACGUGGGAACGUGCCUUUAGGUUCGGAAUAACUCAGGGAAACUUGUGCUAAUACCGUAUGUGCCCUUCGGGGGAAAGAUUUUAUCGCCUUUAGAGCGGCCCGCGUCUGAUUAGCUAGUUGGUGAGGUAAAGGCUCACCAAGGCGACGAUCAGUAGCUGGUCUGAGAGGAUGAUCAGCCACAUUGGGACUGAGACACGGCCCAAACUCCUACAGGAGGCAGCAGUGGGGAAUCUUGCGCAAUGGGCGAAAGCCUGACGCAGCCAUGCCGCGUGAAUGAUGAAGGUCUUAGGAUUGUAAAAUUCUUUCACCGGGGACGAUAAUGACGGUACCCGGAGAAGAAGCCCCGGCUAACUUCGUGCCAGCAGCCGCAGUAA